UUCAUUCUAGCAACACUUCUCACUUUUCGUUUGAUACACAUCGUGUCAUCGAUGAGGGCACCAUAUUUGUUUUUUUGCAAAGCGGAAAUUAUAGAAAUUGUAAUUAGACACCAUUUAUAGUGUCUUUUACUGAAGUAUUAAUCAAAACAUUGUGAUAUUACCAAGGAUAUUAGUGCGUUCGUUUUAGUUAUUCAUAACAAGGCAUAAACCUUGUUUUUUAUUUCCAAAAAUGGAUCAAGAUCGCACUCGACGUGGAGGAGAAGAUGGAACUCUCCCAUGAGCUUGUUCGGUUUGGAACAAACAAUUUCGUUGUUCUGGAGUUUCGUUCGAUUGACGAAAAUACCCUAUAGCAAUGACAUUCAAUAUCAAUUUCAAGAGACAGUACCCUACACCAGUCCAUGCCUGGAAUGACCGCUGCCAGCCAUACCACGAUCUACCAAAAAAUCUGCGGUGGAUCUACAUACCCGAGCCCGAGCACCUUGAGCCCCACUUUCCGUACAAGAUCAUCAUUGCUGGCCCGCCGAAUUAGUUGAAUGAAGAUCUGAACUGGAACUUUGACACCUCGGCAGGGAAAUAAAAACGAUUGCUGUGAUGGUUUAUUCACACCUCCAGCGUGAUAAACGUGUAAACCCAUGGAAUUUCUGUAGCAGGUUGGUGGAAUAAGGAACUUUCCGGAUGUUUCGAUAUUCGUCCACCAUGUGCGUUUCUCAUCGAUUAACAAAUGGAUUUAUUUGGACGAUGAAAGGACAAGGUCUUCAUGAUAUCGACACUGAAUUCAAACUCUGAAUCAGCGGUUAUCCUUUGAUCACUUUGUCAAUGGAACUGAAGGGGGCAAAGGUUGAUGCAUCUCCGUUCUAUAGCAGUUCCCCAGAGUCACAGUACCAAGAAAACAGUCGUCGCCCGAUGGCGAACAGCCGGCAGGAUGGUCGAGCAGUUUCGCGCCGGUAGUAUGUCUGGGCGACAUUUACGGAUGGGCAUCGCACUUCGACACAAUUAAGGAAACGAUGAUGGCGGUAACUAAGCUGAGUGGACAUUCCAGUAUUGACCUGAAUAAAUCAAAGUGAAGAUAACAUCUCUCAGUUUUAUUGGUUUAAUUAAAACAAUUUCAAUAACGGAAGAAUAAAUAAUGUAAC